rnacentral:rRNA from 2 species
GAGUUUGAUCGUGGCUCAGAUUGAACGCUGGCGGCAGGCCUAACACAUGCAAGUCGAGCGGAUGAGUGGAGCUUGCUCCAUGAUUCAGCGGCGGACGGGUGAGUAAUGCCUAGGAAUCUGCCUGGUAGUGGGGGACAACGUUUCGAAAGGAACGCUAAUACCGCAUACGUCCUACGGGAGAAAGCAGGGGACCUUCGGGCCUUGCGCUAUCAGAUGAGCCUAGGUCGGAUUAGCUAGUAGGUGGGGUAAUGGCCCACCUAGGCGACGAUCCGUAACUGGUCUGAGAGGAUGAUCAGUCACACUGGAACUGAGACACGGUCCAGACUCCUACGGGAGGCAGCAGUGGGGAAUAUUGGACAAUGGGCGAAAGCCUGAUCCAGCCAUGCCGCGUGUGUGAAGAAGGUCUUCGGAUUGUAAAGCACUUUAAGUUGGGAGGAAGGGCAGUAAGUUAAUACCUUGCUGUUUUGACGUUACCAACAGAAUAAGCACCGGCUAACUUCGUGCCAGCCGCC